UACGGGGGGAGCAAGCGUUGUUCGGAUUUACUGGGCGUAAAGCGUGCGCAGGCGGUUGUGCAAGACAGAUGUGAAAUCCCCGGGCUCAACCUGGGAAUUGCAUUUGUGACUGCACGGCUAGAGUGUGUCAGAGGGGGGUAGAAUUCCACGUGUAGCAGUGAAAUGCGUAGAGAUGUGGAGGAAUACCGAUGGCGAAGGCAGCCCCCCUGGGAUAACACUGACGCUCAUGCACGAAAGCGUGGGGAGCAAACAGG
rnacentral:rRNA from 1 species